UGAGCGAGUCGGGUGAUCGCCUCGAGCAAUCGAGGAGGAAAGUCCGGGCUCCGUAGGGCAAGGUGGUUGCUAACAGCAACGGUCGUGAGACACGGAAAGUGCCACAGAAAAGAAAACCCUGCGGGACCAACUGAUGAGUCGUCCGGGCUGGACUCGGAGACUGAGUUGGUGAACCCGCAGGAAAGCUGAAACGGUGGUGUAAGAGACCACCAGCUCCGUCGUGAGGCGGAGGCUUGGCAAACCCCACCUGGAGCAAGGCUGAAUAGGGGAGGGUUGAAGCUGCCCGCUGACCUCCCGGGUACGCCGCUUAGAGCCGCGCGGUGACGCGCGAGCCUAGAUAGAUGAUCACCCUCGACAGAACCCGGCUUACAGACUCGCUCACCCU
rnacentral:RNase_P_RNA from 1 species